rnacentral:rRNA from 1 species
UACGUGGGGUGCAAGCGUUGUCCGGAUUUAUUGGGCGUAAAGAGUAUGUAGGCGCAUUGUUAAGUUUCUGUUCAAAGACCAGAGCUCAACUUUGGGAAGGGUGGAAAUACUGGCAAUGUUUGAAGAAUGUAGGGGCUACUAGAACUGUCGGUGUAGGAGUGAAAUCCGUUGAUAUCGACAGGAAUGCCAAAGGCGAAGGCGUGUAGCUGGGCAUUUCUUGACGCUGAGAUACGAAAGCUAGGGGAGCGAA